rnacentral:rRNA from 1 species
GUCCCACUAGCUAGUUGGUAAGGUCACGGCUUACCAAGGCUAUGAUGGAUAGGGGUCCUGAGAGGGAGAUCCCCCACACUGGUACUGAGACACGGACCAGACUCCUACGGGAGGCAGCAGUGAGGAAUAUUGGUCAAUGGUCGCAAGACUGUACCAGCCAUGCCGCGUGCAGGAUGACGGUCCUAUGGAUUGUAAACUGCUUUUGUACGGGAAGUCACACUCCUACGUGUAGGGGCUUGACGGUACCGUAAGAAUAAGGAUCGGCUAACUCCGUGCCAGCAGCCGCGGUAAUACGGAGGAUCCGAGCGUUAUCCGGAAUCAUUGGGUUUAAAGGGUCCGUAGGCGGCCCUGUAAGUCAGCGGUGAAAUCUCCCGGCUCAACCGGGAAACUGCCGUUGAUACUGCA